GGUUAAGCGACUAAGCGUACACGGUGGAUGCCUAGGCAAUCAGAGGCGAUGAAGGACGUGCUAAUCUGCGAUAAGCGUC
rnacentral:rRNA from 2 species